rnacentral:rRNA from 1 species
GUGGGGAAUAUUGGACAAUGGGGGGAACCCUGAUCCAGCCAUGCCGCGUGUGUGAAGAAGGCCUUUUGGUUGUAAAGCACUUUAAGCGAGGAGGAGGCUACCGAGAUUAAUACUCUGGGAUAGUGGACGUUACUCGCAGAAUAAGCACCGGCUAACUCUGUGCCAGCAGCCGCGGUAAUACAGAGGGUGCAAGCGUUAAUCGGAUUUACUGGGCGUAAAGCGCGCGUAGGUGGCCAAUUAAGUCAAAUGUGAAAUCCCCGAGCUUAACUUGGGAAUUGCAUUCGAUACUGGUUGGCUAGAGUAUGGGAGAGGAUGGUAGAAUUCCAGGUGUAGCGGUGAAAUGCGUAGAGAUCUGGAGGAAUACCGAUGGCGAAGGCAGCCAUCUGGCCUAAUACUGACACUGAGGUGCGAAAGCAUGGGGAGCAAACAGGAUUAGAUACCCCAGUAGUCC